GCCAGACUCCUACGGGAGGCAGCAGUGGGGGAUAUUGCACAAUGGGGGGAACCCUGAUGCAGCGACGCCGCGUGGGUGAAGGAGUGCUUCGGCAUGUAAAGCCCUAUCGGCAGGGAAGAAGCAAGACGGUACCUGACUAGGAAGCCCCGGCUAACUACGUGCCAGCAGCCGCGGUAAUACGUAGGGGGCGAGCGUUAUCCGGAUUCACUGGGUGUAAAGGGAGCGUAGACGGCCAUGCAAGCCAGGGGUGAAAGCCCGGGGCCCAACCCCGGGACUGCCCUUGGAACUGCAUGGCUGGAGUGCGGGAGGGGCAGGCGGAAUUCCUGGUGUAGCGGUGAAAUGCGUAGAUAUUAGGAAGAACACCAGUGGCGAAGGCGGCUUGCUGGACAGUAACUGACGUUGAGGCUCGAAAGCGUGGGGAGCAAACAGGAUUAGAUACCCGCGUA
rnacentral:rRNA from 1 species